UGGUCUUCAUUCGCUUCAGCCUUUUUCGAGCGCUCUAUCGAGUUGUGUACAAAUACGACGACAUGUAUUAGUUCCUGUCAACUACUUCCUGCAAGCCCUGUGAGUGUGACGAGGUCAAAACAGCUAAAGCCGCCGGUCCGGGGCGGUUGAGUAGCCGCUAGAUAAAGAUAGAAGGUGGCUACCGGGUAAAUGAACGCAUUCAAUAUUGAUUCGUGAUACUGUGAGAGGCAAGCCACGACUCAUACUUAUUUUGAUUCGAGUGGCAGUGAAGCGACUCCGCCAGAUGCUUCAGAAAUAAGGCUGGUUGCGGACAACACCGGCACUAGUAUCAAGUGGUCGUUUGACUCACGAACAGCGGACUAGUGUCCACCGUUGGCGAAGAAAAUGCUGCGCGAAGACCGCCGCGGACGGGGUGUGAGAAUAAUACGACAUGACGUCGAGGGCGCGAUGUCACUGUGACUUGAGUUGAGUGGCUGAGCCAGUUACGCUAACUACUUACGUGACAGAAGAAAGCGAAGUUUACCAUCAUGAUCAACAGCCCUAGGACUAUAAACAAACUUGGGCCUCACUGCUCUGGUGUGUGCCAUCUCAUCAUGUGCAAUGGCAUAGUCAGUGGCAAUCAGUGUAGUUGUGCAUCAACCAGUGCUGGAACGCAGAUACCUUUAGAAAGUGCUCGCUAAACUGAUCUGCAAGAUUUUCCAAUUUCUGAACGUGAGUCA